rnacentral:pre_miRNA from 1 species
AGUAACACCAGGCUCGGUGUGCCAUUUCCUUGUCUGUAGCCAUGUCUAUGUGCCCUUGAGUUAGCCACCUGGGUGAGGGCCUGCU